rnacentral:tRNA from 1 species
GCGGCGGUGGCCGAGCGGUCAAAGGCGGGGGACUCAAGAUCCUCUCCCGUAGGGGUUCGCAGGUUCAAAUCCUGCCCGCCGCACCA